rnacentral:rRNA from 1 species
ACUCCUACGGGAGGCAGCAGUGGGAAUAUUGCACAAUGGGCGCAAGCCUGAUGCAGCCAUGCCGCGUGUGUGAAGAAGGCCUUCGGGUUGUAAAGCACUUUCAGUCGUGAGGAAGGUGGUAGUGUUAAUAGCACUAUCAUUUGACGUUAGCGACAGAAGAAGCACCGGCUAACUCCGUGCCAGCAGCCGCGGUAAUACGGAGGGUGCGAGCGUUAAUCGGAAUUACUGGGCGUAAAGCGCAUGCAGGUGGUUUGUUAAGUCAGAUGUGAAAAGCCCGGGCUCAAGCCUCAGGCAAUUGCAUUUGGAAAAUCUUGGACAGACGUAGAAGUACUGUAGAGGGGGUGAGAAUUGAUCGAGGUAGUUAGGCGGUGAAAUGCAGUAGAGAUCUGAAGGAAAUAACCGGUGG